GAGGAGGGGAGCCCAGACACGGCCUUGGGCCGCGAGGUGGUGAGUGACGUCACGCGGCUCCCCGGCUGCCUCCACCCCUCAUCGCUAGCCAACUGAUGCUGGGGAGCGCUCGGAGUGGGGCGGUGGGCAAACGAGGGCCGGAGGGCGCUCUCUCUGUGCCCUCUUCCUAGUUCCGGGGGCUGCCGGUCUUUAUGGGGCCCUGGGUCAGCUCUGCGAGCCUCCGCUUUUUUAUUUGUAAAGUGAGCUCCGUGCGGGAGACUGAGGGAGUGAAGCGGCUCGCCUAGGGUCACACAGCGAGGAGAGAGAAGUCUUCCCGGUCCCCGAUUCGGCCCUUCAGCCCCAUGACCCCCGACUGCCCCAGCCGGGAGGCGCCUAAUAAAGACACAGCUAUUUGUUGGAGACAAAGCCGUCUCCUGCCUUUCAGGGGGUCGCUCCCACGAAAAGAAGGGGCAGGGAGUGCAGAGCCAUUCUCAAUGCUAGAUUCUUAAGGAACAAGAAACAUUUUAAAUAGGAGAAAGAACUCAUACAUGGACAUUGAUACGUGUUGGCUUGAACAAGAAUUUCCAAUGAGAUCCAGUUUCUGGCUCCAGAUCCCUCUAACACUCUACUUGUGUUCUACUAAGAUGAGGCAGCUGGGACUUAGAGACCUAGUGAUUCAGCAACAGCAAGAUUGUGUGAUGAUCAACUAUGAUAGACUUGGCUGUUCUCAGCAGUUCAGUGAUCCAAGUCAGUUCCAAUAGGCUCUGGAUGGAAAAGGCCACCUACAUCCAGAGAGAGAGCUAUGGAGACGGAAUGCAGAUCAAAGAAUAUUAUUUCCACCUUUUUUUCUUUUUUGUGGUUUUUUCCUUUCUCAUGGUUUUCCCCUUUUGUUCUGAUUUUUCUUUCCCAAUAUGAUUCACAUGGAAAUGUGUUUAAAAUGAAUGUAGAAGUAUAACUUAGCUUCGGGGGGGAAGGGAGAGGAGGAAAAAAAAUUGGAACUCAAAAUCUCACCAAAAAAAUUUGUCUUUACAUGUAGGUGGGGAAAUAAUAUACUAUUAAAAAAUGCCAGUGAUCUGCUCAGGAUCCUACAGCCCAGCG